rnacentral:rRNA from 1 species
UACGGGGGGGACGAGCGUUGUUCGGAUUUACUGGGCGUAAAGGGCGCGUAGGCGGGUCUUCAAGUCGGAUGUGAAAACUAUCAGCUUAACUGGUAGCCUGCAUUUGAUACUGUUGAUCUUGAGUACGGGAGAGGAGAGUGGAAUUCCAGGUGUAGCGGUGAAAUGCGUAGAUAUCUGGAAGAACACCAGUAGCGAAGGCGGCUCUCUGGACCGAUACUGACGCUCAAGCGCGAAGGCUUGGGGAGCAAACAGG